GGGUGGGUGGCUCAGUGGUUAGACCCUAAGCCUUGGGAGCGAAAAGUCCUGGGUUCGAAUCCUGCAAGAAGCA
rnacentral:tRNA from 1 species